rnacentral:sRNA from 1 species
AUGGCUGUCGUCAGCUCGUGUCGUGAGAUGUUGGGUUAAGUCCCGCAACGAGCGCAACCCCUGUCCUGUGUUGCCGUCAUUAAGUUGGGAACUCGCAGGAGACCGCCAGCGAUAAGCUGGAGGAAGGUGGGGAUGACGUCAAGUCCUCAUGGCCUUUAUGUCCAGGGCUACACACGUGCUACAAUGGACGGUACAGAGCGCCGCAAACCCGCGAGGGGGAGCCAAUCGCAAAAAACCGUUCUCAGUUCGGAUUGCAGGCUGCAACUCGCCUGCAUGAAGCUGGAAUCGCUAGUAAUGGCAGAUCAGCACGCUGCCGUGAAUACGUUCCCGGGCCUUGUACACACCGCCCGUCACAUCACGAAAGUGGAUUGUACUAGAAGUCUGCAGGCUGACCCGCAAGGGGGGCAGCGGCCCAAGGUAUGAUCCAUGAUUGGGGUGAAGUCGUAACAAGGUAGCCGUAGGAGAACCUGCGGCUGGAUCACCUCCUUCCUAAGAGAGACCGUGGAUGGAGUUUCUGAAAGCCAAAAGCGCUUGAGUGUACAGCGUGGGCAAGUAGGGGGCAGUCGUUCCAUUCCAUAAACCGCCACUGAUUCUUCGGAAUUAGUGGUGAGCACGCUACCGGAUCUCCACUUAGAGCAUAUGGGAGUGAAUCUGAAAGUGGUUGAGGGUUUGAUAUCCUUGGCCCCUGUAUCCAACUGGCCUCGAUUAAAUCUCGAAGGCGGCGCCGCGGCAACGCGCCGCCACCCAAAAAAAGGGGCUGUAGCUCAGCUGGGAGAGCGCCUGAUUUGCACUCAGGAGGUCGCCGGUUCGAUCCCGACCAGCUCCACCAGUGUUGGGACGGCAGUGUCAACCGCUGGGCCCGUAGCUCAGAUGGCUAGAGCGCACCCCUGAUAAGGGUGAGGUCGAUGGUUCGAUUCCAUCUGGGCCCACCAUGCCAACCAAAUUGCGGCAAAAUUGCAGGAACGCCGGGCAAUACAUCAGCAAUAAGUUGAAGCGAAGACCGAUUCGCUUGAACUGAUUGCUGAGGCAAUCGAGAUCUUUGACAACUGAAUAUUGACGGGCAUUAUAAACACAAGUAUAUAAGCGCGUAGAAAGUAGCGUCUGCAAGCGGCCGAAGGCCGGCGGAAAGGGGCACCGGGUCAAAUACGGGGCCAAACAAGCGGGUCGGAAGCCGUAAAAAAUGUGUUUGUGUGAGAAGUAGAUUUUAUGGUCAAGCUACUAAGGGCGUGUGUGUGGAUGCCUAGGCGCAAUUAGGCGAAGAAGGACGUGAUCAGCUGCGAUAAGCUUCGGGAAGCCGCUAAUAGGCUAUGAUCCGGAGAUUUCCGAAUGGGGAAACCCGG